AUCCCUUGGUUCAUGAGCAUGAUAACUGAGUGUUCAUGCCUUUUGCAUGAAAUGUGCCUUCCUCAAACCUUGUUACAACAUGGGCACAUCACCAGUCUGAUG